rnacentral:rRNA from 1 species
GGUUUGCUUCCCGCGACGUUAUGAGAAGUCCACUGAACCUUAUCAUUUAGAGGAAGGAGAAGUCGUAACAAGGUUUCCGUAGGUGAACCUGCGGAAGGAUCAUUGU